AGUGAACGCUGGCGGUAGGCCUAACACAUGCAAGUCGAACGGCAGCACAGUAAGAGCUUGCUCUUACGGGUGGCGAGUGGCGGACGGGUGAGGAAUACAUCGGAAUCUACCUUUUCGUGGGGGAUAACGUAGGGAAACUUACGCUAAUACCGCAUACGACCUACGGGUGAAAGCAGGGGAUCUUCGGACCUUGCGCGAUUGAAUGAGCCGAUGUCGGAUUAGCUAGUUGGCGGGGUAAAGGCCCACCAAGGCGACGAUCCGUAGCUGGUCUGAGAGGAUGAUCAGCCACACUGGAACUGAGACACGGUCCAGACUCCUACGGGAGGCAGCAGUGGGGAAUAUUGCACAAUGGGCGCAAGCCUGAUCCAGCCAUACCGCGUGGGUGAAGAAGGCCUUCGGGUUGUAAAGCCCUUUUGUUGGGAAAGAAAAGCAGCAGGUUAAUCCCCCGCUGUUCUGACGGUACCCAAAGAAUAAGCACCGGCUAACUUCGUG
rnacentral:rRNA from 1 species